rnacentral:rRNA from 1 species
UACGAAGGGGGCUAGCGUUGCUCGGAAUCACUGGGCGUAAAGGGCGCGCAGGCGGCUCGGAAAGUCGGGUGUGAAAACUCGGGGCUCAACCCCGGGCGUGCAUCCGAUACUGCCGGGCUUGAGGCAGGUAGGGGAGAUCGGAAUUCCUGGAUGUAGCGGUGGAAUGCGCAGAUAUCAGGAGGAACACCGGUGGCGAAGGCGGGUCUCUGGGCAGUAACUGACGCUGAGGAGCGAAAGCGUGGGGAGCGAACAGG